rnacentral:tRNA from 1 species
GCGGGAAUAACUCAGCGGUAGAGUGACAGCUUCCCAAGCUGUAAGUCGCGGGUUCGAAUCCCGUUUCCCGCUCUA